rnacentral:rRNA from 1 species
CCUACGGGGGGCAGCAGUGGGGAAUAUUGGACAAUGGGGGGAACCCUGAUCCAGCGAUGCCGCGUGGGUGAAGAAGGCCUUCGGGUUGUAAAGCCCUUUAGGCUGGGAAGAAGGGUAUAGCGAGAAGGCUAUACUUUGACGGUACCGGCAGAAUAAGCACCGGCAAACUCUGUGCCAGCAGCCGCGGUAAUACAGAGGGUGCGAGCGUUAAUCGGAGUUACUGGGCGUAAAGGGCGCGUAGGCGGUGCUAUGAGUGGCAUGUGAAAGCCCUGGGCUUAACCUAGGAAGUGCAUGCCAAACGAUAGGACUGGAGUACAGGAGAGGGUGGCGGAAUUUCCGGUGUAGCGGUGAAAUGCGUAGAGAUCGGAAGGAACGUCGAUGGCGAAAGCAGCCACCUGGCCUGAGACUGACGCUGAGGCGCGAGAGCAUGGGGAGCGAAC